UCUCGUCAGAUAAAGACAAUUUAAAGAUCUGGCCAGAUCUGUUUAUAUAUGGCCAGAUCUAAUUCGUUUUUCUUGGGUGGCUAGUCAGAUAUGAAAAUAAC